AUGAGGAGCUCCAUGGCCCUCUUGGCGGCGGCGCUGCUGCUGCUGGUGUCGCUGGCGGCGGCGGCGGACAUGUCGAUCGUGUCGUACGGGGAGCGGAGCGAGGAGGAGGUGCGGCGGAUGUACGCCGAGUGGAUGUCCGAGCACCGCAGGACGUACAACGCCAUCGGCGAGGAGGAGCGCCGCUUCGAGGUCUUCAGGGACAACCUCCGCUACAUCGACCAGCACAACGCCGCCGCCGACGCCGGGCUCCACUCCUUCCGCCUCGGCCUCAACCGCUUCGCCGACCUCACCAACGAGGAGUACCGCAGCACGUACCUGGGCGCCCGGACCAAGCCGGACCGGGAGCGGAAGCUCAGCGCCAGGUACCAGGCCGACGACAACGAGGAGCUGCCGGAGACCGUCGACUGGAGGAAGAAGGGGGCCGUUGCUGCCAUCAAGGACCAGGGCGGCUGCGGGAGCUGCUGGGCUUUCUCAGCAAUAGCAGCUGUUGAAGGCAUCAACCAGAUUGUUACGGGCGACAUGAUCCCUCUGUCCGAGCAAGAGCUUGUUGACUGUGACACUUCAUACAACGAGGGAUGCAAUGGAGGUCUGAUGGACUAUGCGUUUGAGUUCAUCAUUAACAAUGGCGGUAUCGACUCUGAGGAGGACUACCCCUACAAGGAGAGGGACAACCGUUGCGAUGCUAACAAGAAAAAUGCGAAGGUUGUUACCAUUGAUGGGUACGAGGAUGUGCCCGUGAACAGUGAGAAGAGUCUGCAGAAGGCAGUUGCAAACCAGCCCAUCAGUGUUGCGAUUGAGGCUGGUGGCAGGGCAUUCCAGCUCUACAAAUCGGGUAUCUUCACUGGAACCUGUGGAACAGCACCUGACCAUGGUGUCGCCGCCGUUGGUUAUGGUACAGAGAACGGCAAGGACUACUGGCUCGUCAGGAACUCCUGGGGUACCGUCUGGGGAGAGGAUGGUUACAUCCGGAUGGAGCGUAACAUCAAGGCAUCCAGUGGCAAAUGUGGUAUUGCCGUUGAGCCUUCCUACCCGACGAAGACGGGCGAGAACCCCCCUAACCCCGGCCCAACUCCACCAUCUCCCGCCCCACCGUCUUCCGUCUGUGACAGCUACAACGAGUGCCCCGCGAGCACGACCUGCUGCUGCAUCUACGAGUACGGCAAGGAGUGCUUCGCCUGGGGCUGUUGCCCACUCGAGGGUGCUACCUGCUGCGAUGAUCACUACAGCUGCUGCCCUCAUAACUAUCCCAUCUGCAACACCCAGCAGGGAACCUGCCUUGCGGCCAAGGACAGUCCACUGUCAGUGAAGGCUCAGAGGCGUACCCUGGCCAAGCCUAUCGGUGCUUUCUCUGUCAUUGCAACUGACGGCAAGAAAAGUAGCGCGUAA
rnacentral:rRNA from 1 species